CCUACGGGAGGCAGCAGUGGGGAAUAUUGGACAAUGGGGGGAACCCUGAUCCAGCCAUGCCGCGUGUGUGAAGAAGGCCCUCGGGUUGUAAAGCACUUUCAGUGAGGAAGAACGCCUGGUGGUUAAUACCCAUCAGGAAAGACAUCACUCACAGAAGAAGCACCGGCUAACUCCGUGCCAGCAGCCGCGGUAAUACGGAGGGUGCGAGCGUUAAUCGGAAUUACUGGGCGUAAGCGCGCGUAGGUGGCUUGAUAAGCCGGUUGUGAAAGCCCCGGGCUCAACCUGGGAACGGCAUCCGGAACUGUCAAGCUAGAGUGCAGGAGAGGAAGGUAGAAUUCCCGGUGUAGCGGUGAAAUGCGUAGAGAUCGGGAGGAAUACCAGUGGCGAAGGCGGCCUUCUGGACUGACACUGACACUGAGGUGCGAAAGCGUGGGUAGCAAACAGGAUUAGAUACCCGUGUAGUC
rnacentral:rRNA from 1 species